CAAAACUUUCAACAAUGGAUCUCUUGGUUCCGGCAUCGAUGAAGAACGCAGCGAAAUGCGAUAAGUAAUGCGAAUUGCAGAAUUCCGUGAGUCAUCGAAUCUUUGAACGCACAUUGCGCCCCCCGGCUUCCCGGGGGGCAUGCCUGUCCGAGCGUCAUU
rnacentral:rRNA from 1 species